UACAGAGGAGCCAAGCGUUGUCCGGAUUGACUGGGCGUAAAGCGCACGCAGGCGGAUGCGCGCGUGGGGUGUGAAAUCUGGCCGCUUAACGGCCAGGCGCCAUCCCAUACGGCGCGUCUGGAGUGAUGCAGAGGUCGGUGGAAUUGCCGGUGUAGUGGUGAAAUGCGUAGAGAUCAGCAGGAACACCCAGGGGGAAACCAGCCGACUGGGCAUCUACUGACGCUGAGGUGCGAGAGCGUGGGGAGCGAACCGG
rnacentral:rRNA from 1 species